UAGAACGCUGAAAUAAGAGCUUGCUCUUAUGGAUGAGUUGCGAACGGGUGAGUAACACGUGGGGAACCUACCUUCUAGCGGGGGAUAACACAUAGAAAUGUGUGCUAAUACCGCAUAAUAGUAUUUGAUGCAUAUCAGAUACUUGAAAGGCGCAAUUGCGUCACUAGAAGAUGGCCCCGCGGUGCAUUAGCUAGUUGGUGAGGUAACGGCUCACCAAGGCAAUGAUGCAUAGCCGACCUGAGAGGGUGAUCGGCCACACUGGGACUGAGACACGGCCCAGACUCCUACGGGAGGCAGCAGUAGGGAAUCUUCGGCAAUGGACGCAAGUCUGACCGAGCAACGCCGCGUGAGUGAAGAAGGUUUUCGGAUCGUAAAACUCUGUUGUAAGAGAAGAACGUUGAUGAGAGUGGAAAGUUCAUCAAGUGACGGUAUCUUACCAGAAAGCCACGGCUAACUACGUGCCAGCAGCCACGGUAAUACGUAGGUGGCGAGCGUUGUCCGGAUUUAUUGGGCGUAAAGCGAGCGCAGGCGGUUGAUUAAGUCUGAUGUGAAAGCCCCCGGCUCAGCCGGGGAGGGUCAUUGGAAACUGGUCAACUUGAGUGCAGAAGAGGAGAGUGGAAUUCCAUGUGUAGCGGUGAAAUGCGUAGAUAUAUGGAGGAACACCAGUGGCGAAGGCGGCUCUCUGGUCUGUAACUGACGCUGAGGCUCGAAAGCGUGGGGAGCGAACAGGAUUAGAUACCCUGGUAGUCCACGCCGUAAACGAUGAGUGCUAAGUGUUGGAGGGUUUCCGCCCUUCAGUGCUGCA
rnacentral:rRNA from 1 species